CCGGGGCACGCAGGGGAAGGCAGCAGCGGCUGCUAGAGAAGCGAGGGUGCCGUGUUUUCCUCUAGUGUCAGUUUAACAGAGCUCAGAUGUCGGCCCUCGGGGGGUAAUGGUCUCCUCCUGACUCGCUGGGCGCUGGUGCACAGGAAUGGGUGCAGUGCCUCUGUGUGGUUUUCUCCUCUUUUCAAUGUGCCUCUCCAAGGAUCUCCUCUCUGACCGACAUCCCAAUAUUGCCUCCUGCAGCCCAUGCAAUGGGAAAAUCCUUUUUCAGACCCCACCUAUAAAUCCAAGCCUUCCUUUUUUUUUGAUGUUACUGGGCUAUUGCCCUUUUGUUGUUACAUUCUGAAUAACUACAACGAGCUUUGUUGUGGCACAUGGGAGUGUUCCUCAUGGAUAUGCAGAUUAAGGAAGCAUAUCCAUAUGGGUCUUCAUAGCAGAAGUUGCGUUAAAUGUAAAUCUGCAUCAUAAUAGUCUGUUAUGCUGAUUUUAAAGAUUUUUGCCUUUCAGAUUCUACACAUGGCUUUGAAGAAGGAAAGCGGCAUGUGAAAGAGACCUGGCUCCUGCUCUCCAUGUGCCGCAGGCAUUGGCUCCAUGUCUCCAGCAACGAAGUUCAGCGCCAUGUUUCACAUCUCAAUGACCUCAACUCUUUGUGUCUUUUAAACCCACAUGUUUUCUUGAGAAGUUUUAUCCUGUUUAAUACCGAAGUUCAUUAGGAACUCUUUAAACUCUC